UACAGAGGUCCCGAGCGUUGUUCGGAUUCACUGGGCGUAAAGGGUGCGUAGGUGGCGAGGUAAGUCGGAUGUGAAAGCUCGGAGCUCAACUCCGAAAUGGCAUUGGAAACUACCUUGCUCGAGGGUUGGAGGGGGGACUGGAAUGCUUGGUGUAGCAAUGAAAUGCGUAGAUAUCAAGCGGAACACCAGUGGCGAAGGCGAGUCCCUGGACAACUCCUGACACUGAGGCACGAAAGCUAGGGGAGCAAACAGG
rnacentral:rRNA from 1 species